CAGCCGCCGCGGGAAUACGUAGGUCCCGAGCGUUGUCCGGAUUUAUUGGGCGUAAAGGGAGCGCAGGCGGUUUAGUAAGUCUGAAGUUAAAGGCAUUGGCUCAACCAAUGUAUGCUUUGGAAACUGUUUAACUUGAGUGCAAGAGGGGAGAGUGGAAUUCCAUGUGUAGCGGUGAGAUGCGUAGAUAUAUGGAGGAACACCGGUGGCGAGAGCGGCUCUCUGGCUUGUAACUGACGCUGAGGCUCGAAAGCGUGGGGAGCAAACAGGAUUAGAUACCCCCGUAGUCCCUGUCUCUUAUACA
rnacentral:rRNA from 1 species